rnacentral:rRNA from 1 species
AAUAUUUCGCAAUGGAGGGAACUCUGACGCAGCGACGCCGCGUGAGCGAUGAAGGUCUUCGGAUCGUAAAGCUCUGUCCUUGGGGAAGAAGGUCUUCGGACUUGACGGUAACUAAGGAGCAAGCCCCGGCUAACGACGGGCCACCAGCCGCGGUAAUACGUAGGGGGCAAGCGUUGUCCGGAAUUAUUGGGCGUAAAGGGUGCGUAGGGGGCCUUUUAAGUCAGAUGGGAAAGCCCACGGCUUAACCGUGGGACUGCAUUUGAAACUGGAGGGCUUGAGUAUCGGAGAGGGUAGUGGAAUUCCCAGUGUAGCGGUGGAAUGCGUAGAUAUUGGGAGGAACACCAGUGGCGAAGGCGACUACCUGGACGAUUACUGACGCUGAUGCACGAAAGCUAGGGGAGCAAAC